UUCUGGAAUGUCCAAUAGAGCCAGUCCCUGGUGGGUCCAAAGAUGGGCGUGCUGUUGGCCAAGGCUGAGCCAAUUAUAAAUGGUAGUUAGGCCUCUGUGAUAACAUAUUUAAGAAGAAAUCAAAACAAAGGUGGUGGCACAUUUUUAAUUCCAGCCAAAGAAGAACAGAGUGAGAACAUGUGGGAGGAAGAGCUCUACAGAAAUUGAGCCAUCUAACCUCACAGAGGCAUGACUCCUCCUGCAUCUGACUACUUUCAAUUGCAAGUUUAUUUAACACAACAGCUGACGCUUGCCAAAGGUUAAUGAAACCCAGGUUAAUCUGUACACAAACGGAAGACAACUGCUCAAGCUUACUAAAAUUUUUGCAAGACUUGAACAACAAAGACUAUACAAGAUUGUGCAUGAAUAGAUGCUGUAAUGUCAAGGUUGGAACCAGCCCACUCCUGGCGAGUCUCUAUCCUAGGAAAGUGUUUUGCUCAUAAUAGGCUGCCUGACACUCUGACCUUUAUCACAUUUUUCUUUCCUGUCACCUUCAGGAAGGGCAGCUGUGGUGCUAUUGAUGUAUUUCAUACAUAGACAAAUAAUUUCAGAAUUAUUCUGAAACACUAAAAAAUAAGCUCUUCUCUUGAUCUUGCAACAUCUCUUUUUUGCGAUUUGUACUAAAAAUAAAAUAAAAAAAAAAA